CCCACCAUCUCACCCCUCCACAAGAUGUAUUGUAUCAAACCUUUGUAUCAUUUCUUCAUCCAUUUUACCUUUUCUUCAUGGAUCUCUAAAAGAACAGCCGCAUCUCUUCUAUACCUAUGCUUGCCGGAAAAAUCCACCAUCGUCGGCAACCCUUCAUCUCCUUCGUCUCUUUGUCUCCACCAAUCUUCUAACACCUAAAAAAAAAUAGAAAUUCAUGUCUCUCACAUGUAAAGCUCGAUAUACAGAAGAUGUAAUCUUCCAUGGAAACCUAGUGAGACCUCCAUCACUCUCUUCUGUCAAACCACGAUGACUUGAAUAUUUCCAACGUCUAAGAACCUAACGAAUAGAGUUUUGAAGAAGGUUGAUUUGGGGUGAAAAGUUCUAUAUAUGGUUACGGUGGAACAAGAAAUCAAAAUGCAAAUAUGAUGGGUUUUUGGCAUCUGAAGGAUUCAUUUUUGAAGGAAGAAAUCGGUUUCGAAGUGAAAAGUUUGAAGGUCUUUUGGCAACUGAUUUGGAUUCGAUUUUGAAGCUUUUUAGAGAUCUUUUGCAAUGUUGUUGUAGACGAUAAAGUGGUUCUUUAAUUAUUUUGGAUUUCCAGAGAUCCGGGAGCUAAAUUUGAUUUAGAUUUGCUUUGAUUCAUGUCUGAAAGAACUUUUUUUUGGUUUCCAUGUUCAUGAACUAAUGGUAUUUAUUUUGUAUUUGGUUCGACUCAA